rnacentral:rRNA from 1 species
UACGUAGGGGGCAAGCGUUGUCCGGAAUCAUUGGGCGUAAAGCGCGUGUAGGCGGUUCAGUAAGUCUGCUGUGAAAGUCCAAGGCUCAACCCUGGGAUGCCGGUGGAUACUGCUGGGCUAGAGUACGGAAGAGGCGAGUGGAAUUCCCGGUGUAGCGGUGAAAUGCGCAGAUAUCGGGAGGAACACCGAUGGCGAAGGCAGGUCACUGGGCCCGCAACUGACGCUGAGGAGCGAAAAGCAU